GGUGAACGCUGGCGGCGUGCCUAAGACAUGCAAGUCGAGCGGGCCGCGGGGUUUUACUCCGUGGUCAGCGGCGGACGGGUGAGUAACGCGUGGGUGACCUACCCGGAAGAGGGGGACAACCCGGGGAAACUCGGGCUAAUCCCCCAUGUGGACCCGCCCCUUGGGGUGUGUCCAAAGGGCUUUGCCCGCUUCCGGAUGGGCCCGCGUCCCAUCAGCUAGUUGGUGGGGUAAUGGCCCACCAAGGCGACGACGGGUGGCCGGCCUGAGGGGGUGGCCGGCCAACGGGGCCCUGAGCCCGGGGCCCACUCCUACGGGAGGCAGCAGUUAGGAAUCUUCCGCAAUGGGCGCAAGCCUGACGGAGCGACGCCGCUUGGAGGAAGAAGCCCUUCGGGGUGUAAACUCCUGAACCCGGGACGAAACCCCCGACGAGGGGACUGACGGAACCGGGGUAAUAGCGCCGGCCAACUCCGUG
rnacentral:rRNA from 1 species